rnacentral:rRNA from 1 species
ACACAUGCAAGUCGAGCGAAGCACUUUACUUUGAAUCUUUCGGGAGGAAGAGCGAAGUGACUUAGCGGCGGACGGGUGAGUAACGCGUGGGUAACCUGCCUCAUACAGGGGGAUAACAGUUAGAAAUGACUGCUAAUACCGCAUAAGCGCACAGGACCGCAUGGUCAAGGGUGAAAAACUGAGGUGGUAUGAGAUGGACCCGCGUCUGAUUAGCUAGUUGGUGAGGUAAGGGCUCACCAAGGCAACGAUCAGUAGCCGACCUGAGAGGGUGACCGGCCACAUUGGGACUGAGACACGGCCCAAACUCCUACGGGAGGCAGCAGUGGGGAAUAUUGCACAAUGGGGGAAACCCUGAUGCAGCGACGCCGCGUGAGCGAAGAAGUAUUUCGGUAUGUAAAGCUCUAUCAGCAGGGAAGAAAAUGACGGUACCUGACUAAGAAGCACCGGCUAAAUACGUGCCAGCAGCCGCGGUAAUACGUAUGGUGCAAGCGUUAUCCGGAUUUACUGGGUGUAAAGGGAGUGUAGACGGAUAAGCAAGUCUGGAGUGAAAGCCCGGGGCUCAACCCCGGGACUGCUUUGGAAUCUGUUAAUCUAGAGUGCUGGAGAGGUAAGUGGAAUUCCUAGUGUAGCGGUGAAAUGCGUAGAUAUUAGGAGGAACACCAGUGGCGAAGGCGGCUUACUGGACAGUGACUGACGUUGAGGCUCGAA